rnacentral:rRNA from 1 species
AACGAACGCUGGCGGCAUGCCUAACACAUGCAAGUCGAACGAGACCUUCGGGUCUAGUGGCGCACGGGUGCGUAACGCGGGGGAAUCUGCCCUUGGGUUCGGAACAACAGUUGGAAACGACUGCUAAUACCGGAUGAUGACUUCGGUCCAAAGAUUUAUCGCCCAAGGAUGAGCCCGCGUAGGAUUAGCUUGUUGGUGAGGUAAAAGCUCACCAAGGCGACGAUCCUUAGCUGGUCUGAGAGGAUGAUCAGCCACACUGGGACUGAGACACGGCCCAGACUCCUACGGGAGGCGGCAGUGGGGAAUAUUGGACAAUGGGCGAAAGCCUGAUCCAGCAAUGCCGCGUGAGUGAUGAAGGCCUUAGGGUUGUAAAGCUCUUUUACCCGGGAUGAUAAUGACAGUACCGGGAGAAUAAGCCCCGGCUAACUCCGUGCCAGCCGCCGCCGUAACAC